GAUGAACGCUGGCGGCGUGCCUAAUACAUGCCAGUCGAGCGAACAGACGAGGAGCUUGCUCCUCUGACGUUAGCGGCGGACGGGUGAGUAACACGUGGAUAACCUACCUAUAAGACUGGGAUAACUUCGGGAAACCGGAGCUAAUACCGGAUAAUAUAUUGAACCGCAUGGUUCAAUAGUGAAAGACGGUUUUGCUGUCACUUAUAGAUGGAUCCGCGCCGCAUUAGCUAGUUGGUAAGGUAACGGCUUACCAAGGCGACGAUGCGUAGCCGACCUGAGAGGGUGAUAGGCCACACUGGAACUGAGACACGGUCAAGACUCCUACGGGAGGCAGCAGUAGGGAAUCUUCCGCAAUGGGCGAAAGCCUGACGGAGCAACGCCGCGUGAGUGAUGAAGGUCUUCGGAUCGUAAAACUCUGUUAUUAGGGAAGAACAAAUGUGUAAGUAACUAUGCACGUCUUGACGGUACCUAAUCAGAAAGCCACGGCUAACUACGUG
rnacentral:rRNA from 1 species